rnacentral:rRNA from 1 species
GAUGAACGCUGGCGGCGUGCCUAAUACAUGCAAGUCGAGCGAACAGACGAGGAGCUUGCUCCUUUGACGUUAGCGGCGGACGGGUGAGUAACACGUGGGUAACCUACCUAUAAGACUGGGAUAACUUCGGGAAACCGGAGCUAAUACCGGAUAAUAUUUCGAACUGCAUGGUUCGAUAGUGAAAGAUGGCUCUGCUAUCACUUAUAGAUGGACCUGCGCCGUAUUAGCUAGUUGGUAAGGUAACGGCUUACCAAGGCAACGAUACGUAGCCGACCUGAGAGGGUGAUCGGCCACACUGGAACUGAGACACGGUCCAGACUCCUACGGGAGGCAGCAGUAGGGAAUCUUCCGCAAUGGGCGAAAGCCUGACGGAGCAACGCCGCGUGAGUGAUGAAGGUCUUCGGAUCGUAAAACUCUGUUAUUAGGGAAGAACAAACGUAGUAAGUAACUGUGCACGUCUUGACGGUACCUAAUCAGAAAGCCACGGCUAACUACGU